AAGUGGUGGUAGUGACAAAGAAGUCAAGUUUUGGGAUUUUGAACUUAUAACAGAUAGUGAAUAUUCUGAAGUUAAGAAAAGAUUGUCUCUUAAUCUGAGAAGGACUUU